rnacentral:lncRNA from 1 species
AGUCAAAAAGCCAAUUGUUGUAGUAAGGGCCUGUUUGCCUAGCUUCUAAAAAAAUGAUUUCUGAAAAAAUAAUUUUGGUUUGAGGAAGUGAUUUUAGUUAAAAACUAUAGAGCGUUUGGUAAAUUUUAAAUAAAAGUGAUUUUUCUAAAGUGAUUUUGAAAAGCUGUUUGGCAAAUUUUUUUUGAUAUUGCCAUAAAUUAAUAUUUUUAUUAAAUUUUAUUUUAAAUUAAUUUAAAAUCUAAAUUUAAAUUUGAAUUAAAAUUAAAACUUUUAAAUUUCAAAAUUGUACAAAAUUUAAAAUUUGAUAUUUUAAUUUUAAAAAUAAUUUAAAAUUUAAAAAAUUUAAAAUUUAAAAUAAUUAUGAAAUUUAGAAAUUAAAAAUAUAAAUAUAAAUUUAAAAAUAAAUAUAUUAUGAAUUUUAAAAUAUUAAAUUUUAAUAUAUAAAAAUAUAAAUUUAAAUUAAAAUUUCAAACUUUAAAUUUAGAAUUUUGAAUUUAAAAUUUAAAAUCUAAAUUUAAAAUUUAAAAUUUAAAAUUUAAAUUUAAAUUUUGAAAUUUAAAAUUUAAAAUUUAAAAUCUAAAUGUAAAAAUAUAAAUAAUUAUGAAAUUUAAAAUAUAAAAUAUUUAUAUUUAAAAAUAUUAAAUUUUAAAUUUCAAAAUUUAAAUUUAAAAAUUAAAAUUAAAAAUAAAAAUUAAAAUUAAAUUUAAAAAUUAAAAUUAAAAAUUAAAAAUUAAAAAUUAAAAUUAAAAUUAAAAUUUAAAAUUAAAAAUUUAAAAUAAUUAUGAAAUUUAAAAUAUAAAAUAUAAAAUUUGAAUAUUUAAAAUUUAAAAUUUAAAAUUUAAAAUUUAAAAUUUAAAAUUUAAAAUUUGAAUAUUUAAAAUUUAAAAUUUAAAAUUUAAAAUUUAAAAUUUGAAUAUUUAAAUAUUAAAUAUUAAAUAUUUAAAAUUUAAAUAUUAAAAUUUGAAAUUUUAAAUUUUUAAAAUUUGAAAUUUAUAAUUUGAAGAUUAAAAAUUAUAAUUUAAAAUUUAAAAAUUUAAAAUUUUUACAUUUAAAUUUUAAAAUCUCAAAUUUUAGAUUUGAAAUUUUAUCUUAAAUUUGAAAUUUGAAAUUUGAAAAUUGAAAAUUGAAAAUUGAAAAUUGAAAUUUUUAAAAUUUAAAAUUUUAAAAUCUAAAAUUUGAGAUUUGAAAUUUAAAAUUAAAAUUUAAAAUUAAAAUUUAAAAUUUAAAGUUUGAAAUCUUUUUUUAAAAAUUUAAAAUUUAAAAGUUAAAAUUUAAAAAUUCAAAGAUGAAUCUGAAAAUUAAAAUUUAAAAUUAAAAUUAAAAUUAAAUAUUUAAAUUAAAAUUAAAAUAAAAAAUUGAAGUUUAAAUCCAAAAUCAGAAUCAGAUUUCAAAAACAGUUUUUUUUCUGUUUCUAAUUCUGAGGUAUUCAAAAUUAGUUUUUUGAUUCUACAAAGCAGAAUCAGAUUUGAAAAGUGAGUUGCCAAACGCUUUAUUGAGCCGAAAAUUACUUUUCAGCCCAAAAGUAUUUUUUAAAAGUUAGACCAAACACCCCUAAGGACGUAAAACUAUGGUGUGUGAAUUCUUUUGUACCUAGUGAUGCGUGCAAUUAAUACUUCUGCAAAAUGUCACAAAUGGUAGUUAGUAUCCGAGAAUUUAAAUUCAAAAUUUAGUUGUUUUAUAUUUUAGCUAUCCGGAUAGCUAAAAGCACCUAUCUCUAUUUGUUGUUGAAUAUUCGUGCACCGUAAAAAAUAAAUGAAGUGGAUAGCUAUAGGGGUGGCAAUCCAGCUUACUGUUCGCGAGCCAGCUCGUGUUCGGCUUGAAAUGAGCUCAAGAUCGAAUCGUUCUUUUAAUAAGCGAGCCAAACACGAGCUGAAUUUUUCAGCUCGUUUAAUAAACGAGCCGAACAUGAGCUGGGGUCAGCUCGCUCGUGUUCGGGUCGAUAACAGCUCGAAUACAUAUAUUUUAUAUUUAUAUAAUUUAUAUUUAUAUAUAUUUAUAUAUACAAAUAAAUAAUUAUAUAUAUAAUAUAUAUAUUUUUAUUAUUUGAUUUUUAGCCAAAAAAAUAUAAAGCCGAGCUCAAUUAUAAAGAGACUUAUUUAUAUGUAAAGUUUCAACAAUUAGAUUAAAGUCUAGUGAGUAAUAUUUUAUAAACUUAUUUUUUAUGUAGAUCCAAUCUAAUCAAUUUAACUUAUUGUUCGUUGGCCAGCUCGUGAACCAGCUCGUAUUCGGCUCGUUAAUAAACAAGCCGAACACAAGCUGAAUUUUUCGACUCGAUACUUUAAUGAGCCAGCUCGUGUUUGGCUCGUUGACGCCCCUAGAUAGCUAAGACUAUCUAGUUAUAAUUGUACAUUUUCUUUUUUGAGAGAUAGGUAGCACGCUGCCCGCUUCAUUUAUUUCAUUUAGGAAUAAACUAAGCUAGAAAUGUGAAUCAACUAGGAUUCGAACUUGGGUCUCGAGUACCAACCACCAAGUCCUUUGCCACUUGUUCUAGGAACGGUUGGUUAUAGUUGUACAUUUUCGUAUUGCAAAAAAUGAAUGGAGUGAGUAGCUAGAAG